CACGUAGGGCGCAAGCGUUGUCCGGAAUUAUUGGCGUAAAGAGCUCGUAGGCGUCUGCCACGUCCGCUGUGAAAACCUAGGGCUUAACCCUGGGCUUGCAGUAGAUACGGGCAGACUAGAGGUAGGUAGGGGAGAAUGGAAUUCCCGGUGUAGCGGUGAAAUGCGCAGAUAUCGGGAGGAACACCGGUGGCGAAGGCGGUUCUCUGGGCCUUACCUGACGCUGAGGCAGCGAAAGCGUGGGGAGCGAA
rnacentral:rRNA from 1 species